UACGUAGGGUGCAAGCGUUAAUCGGAAUUACUGGGCGUAAAGCGUGCGCAGGCGGUCUUGUAAGACAGAGGUUAAAUCCCCGGGCUCAACCUGGGAACUGCCUUUGUGACUGCAAGGCUUGAGUGCGGCAGAGGGGGAUGGAAAUCCGCGUGUAGCAGUGAAGUGCGUAGAUAUGCGGAGGAACACCGAUGGCGAAGGCAACCCCCUGGGCCUGCACUGACGCUCAUGCACGAAAGCGUGGGGAGCAAACAGG
rnacentral:rRNA from 1 species